UUGAACGCUGGCGGCAGGCCUAACACAUGCAAGUCGAGCGGUAGCACAGAGAGCUUGCUCUCGGGUGACGAGCGGCGGACGGGUGAGUAAUGUCUGGGAAACUGCCUGAUGGAGGGGGAUAACUACUGGAAACGGUAGCUAAUACCGCAUAAUGUCGCAAGACCAAAGUGGGGGACCUUCGGGCCUCAUGCCAUCAGAUGUGCCCAGAUGGGAUUAGCUAGUAGGUGGGGUAACGGCUCACCUAGGCGACGAUCCCUAGCUGGUCUGAGAGGAUGACCAGCCACACUGGAACUGAGACACGGUCCAGACUCCUACGGGAGGCAGCAGUGGGGAAUAUUGCACAAUGGGCGCAAGCCUGAUGCAGCCAUGCCGCGUGUGUGAAGAAGGCCUUCGGGUUGUAAAGCACUUUCAGCGGGGAGGAAGGCGUUAAGGUUAAUAACCUUGGCGAUUGACGUUACCCGCAGAAGAAGCACCGGCUAACUCCGUGCCAGCAGCCGCGGUAAUACGGAGGGUGCAAGCGUUAAUCGGAAUUACUGGGCGUAAAGCGCACGCAGGCGGUCUGUCAAGUCGGAUGUGAAAUCCCCGGGCUCAACCUGGGAACUGCAUUCGAAACUGGCAGGCUAGAGUCUUGUAGAGGGGGGUAGAAUUCCAGGUGUAGCGGUGAAAUGCGUAGAGAUCUGGAGGAAUACCGGUGGCGAAGGCGGCCCCCUGGACAAAGACUGACGCUCAGGUGCGAAAGCGUGGGAGCAAACAGGAUUAGGUACCCUGGUAGUCCACGCCGUAAACGAUGUCGAUUUGGAGGUUGUGCCCUUGAGGCGUGGCUUCCGGAGCUAACGCGUUAAAUCGACCGCCUGGGGAGUACGGCCGCAAGGUUAAAACUCAAAUGAAUUGACGGGGGCCCGCACAAGCGGUGGAGCAUGUGGUUUAAUUCGAUGCAACGCGAAGAACCUUACCUGGUCUUGACAUCCACAGAACUUUCCAGAGAUGGAUUGGUGCCUUCGGGAACUGUGAGACAGGUGCUGCAUGGCUGUCGUCAGCUCGUGUUGUGAAAUGUUGGGUUAAGUCCCGCAACGAGCGCAACCCUUAUCCUUUGUUGCCAGCGGUCCGGCCGGGAACUCAAAGGAGACUGCCAGUGAUAAACUGGAGGAAGGUGGGGAUGACGUCAAGUCAUCAUGGCCCUUACGACCAGGGCUACACACGUGCUACAAUGGCAUAUACAAAGAGAAGCGACCUCGCGAGAGCAAGCGGACCUCAUAAAGUAUGUCGUAGUCCGGAUUGGAGUCUGCAACUCGACUCCAUGAAGUCGGAAUCGCUAGUAAUCGUAGAUCAGAAUGCUACGGUGAAUACGUUCCCGGGCCUUGUACACACCGCCCGUCACACCAUGGGAGUGGGUUGCAAAAGAAGUAGGUAGCUUAACCUUCGGGAGGGCGCUUACCACUUUGUGAUUCAUGACUGGGGUG
rnacentral:rRNA from 1 species